GACGAACGCUGGCGGCGUGCUUAACACAUGCAAGUCGAACGGAAAGGCCCUGCUUUUGUGGGGUGCUCGAGUGGCGAACGGGUGAGUAACACGUGAGUAACCUGCCCUUGACUUUGGGAUAACUUCACGAAACUGGGGCUAAUACCGGAUAGGAGCUCCUGCUGCAUGGUGGGGGUUGGAAAGAUUCGGCGGUUGGGGAUGGACUCGCGGCUUAUCAGCUUGUUGGUGUGGUAGUGGCUUACCAAGGCUUUGACGGGUAGCCGGCCUGAGAGGGUGACCGGCCACAUUGGGACUGAGAUACGGCCCAGACUCCUACGGGAGGCAGCAGUGGGGAAUAUUGCACAAUGGGCGGAAGCCUGAUGCAGCAACGCCGCGUGCGGGAUGACGGCCUUCGGGUUGUAAACCGCUUUCGCCUGUGACGAAGCGUGAGUGACGGUAAUGGGUAAAGAAGCACCGGCUAACUACGUG
rnacentral:rRNA from 1 species